rnacentral:tRNA from 1 species
GGCUGUGGCUCAGUGGUAGAGCAGUUGCCCAGCAUGCUGGAGACCUGGGUUCCAUCCCCAGCACCCA